UACGGGGGGAGCAAGCGUUGUUCGGAUUUACUGGGCGUAAAGGGCGCGUAGGCGGCGCGACAAGUCACUUGUGAAAUCUCCGGGCUUAACCCGGAGCGGCCAAGUGAUACUGUAGUGCUAGAGUGCGGAAGGGGCUACUGGAAUUCUCGGUGUAGCGGUGAAAUGCGUAGAUAUCAGAAGGAACACCCGUGGCGAAGGCGGCUUUCUGGGACGGUACUGACGCUGAGACGCGAAAGCGUGGGGAGCGAACAGG
rnacentral:rRNA from 1 species